rnacentral:rRNA from 1 species
GAUGAACGCUGGCGGCGUGCCUAAUACAUGCAAGUCGAGCGAACAGACGAGGAGCUUGCUCCUCUGACGUUAGCGGCGGACGGGUGAGUAACACGUGGAUAACCUACCUAUAAGACUGGGAUAACUUCGGGAAACCGGAGCUAAUACCGGAUAAUAUAUUGAACCGCAUGUUUCAAUAGUGAAAGACGGUUUUGCUGUCACUUAUAGAUGGAUCCGCGCCGCAUUAGCUAGUUGGUAAGGUAACGGCUUACCAAGGCAACGAUGCGUAGCCGACCUGAGAGGGUGAUCGGCCACACUGGAACUGAGACACGGUCCAGACUCCUACGGGAGGCAGCAGUAGGGAAUCUUCCGCAAUGGGCGAAAGCCUGACGGAGCAACGCCGCGUGAGUGAUGAAGGUCUUCGGAUCGUAAAACUCUGUUAUUAGGGAAGAACAAAUGUGUAAGUAACUAUGCACGUCUUGACGGUACCUAAUCAGAAAGCCACGGCUAACUACGUG